AAACUUAGAAUCACCACCUCUACAAUAUUGCAAUCCACAUCUAAAAAGUCCUAAUCACAGGAUCACAUUAUACAAUAUCCUAGCUUAGCAACCAAAUUCACCUAGCCAACAUCUUAGCAAAUCAUGUCUGACAUUCCCCUCUACCAACCUCAUUUCUUAACAUAAAUAAAUGUGUAUGCUUUACCUUGGGAGUAUCGAUCACAAGACACAUGGACUCUUACCCCAACAGGUAUCUGAGUAAACAGGUAGUCUUGUUCUGGUUUCUUUUACUCUAUAUCUCCCUUCUCUGAAUCCUUUUUUAUCUCAAUUCCAAUGAACAAAGAUGCUGAUGCAGUCCAUCUUAUUCACCUUUUUUUCGAUUUUUUUUUAUUAUUAUUUUAUUAUUAUUAUUAUUAUUUUUUCUUUUUCUUUUCUUGACAAAGAGUAGGCGAAUAGUGGGGUCAUCGGUAAUGUAUCUACCCCUCUAAACCGCCUGAAAUCAUCUCAAUCUUUUAUUUAAUUUUAUUAAGAUGCCAAAGGGAGGAGAUAAGGAAACCAAAAUCACUCAGACUUUUAUCUUUCAGACCUGAAGGAGAAAUCCGAUCUAGUGUAUACCAAGCCCCAAGACAAGCAGUUAAGUCAAAUUAGGCUGGAGGUCAGUUUCGGUUCCUUCAAACAAUCUCAGCAAGUAUGAACUUAGUUGACAGGUUGAUCCACUUUAGUAUCUUUAGUAGUAUCUGCAAUCAGUAAGUCUAGAAUUGUGCUAAAAAGUGGUUAAAUAACAAGUAUGAAUCUAAUAAGUUCAUUAUCCCCUUCUUGACUCAAUAAAAACAGAUUUUGAAAAUAUUUUAAAUAAGACUCAUAAAAGGUAGAUAAACGUUAGUAAUCC
rnacentral:lncRNA from 1 species